UCCGGUUUGUCACCGGCAGUCUCCUUAGAGUGCCCACCAUAACGUGCUGGUAACUAAGGACAAGGGUUGCGCUCGUUAUCGGACUUAACCGGACAUCUUACGACACGAGCUGACGACAGCCAUGCAGCACCUAUCACCGAGUCCCCGAAGGGAACACCACAUCUCUGCGGCUGUCUCGGGAUGUUAAGGGUAGGUAAGGUUCUGCGCGUUGCUUCGAAUUAAACCACAUACUCCACCGCUUGUGCGGGCCCCCGUCAAUUCCUUUGAGUUUUAGCCUUGCGACCGUACUCCCCAGGCGGGAUACUUAAUGCGUUAGCUUUGGUACUCAGGAGGUUAACUUCCCGAACACCUAGUAUCCAUCGUUUACGGUGCGGACUAC
rnacentral:misc_RNA from 1 species